UACGUAGGGUGCAAGCGUUGUCCGGAAUUAUUGGGCGUAAAGAGCUUGUAGGCGGUUUGUCGCGUCUGCUGUGAAAUUUCGGGGCUCAACCCCGAACUUGCAGUGGGUACGGGCAGACUAGAGUGCGGUAGGGGGAGACUGGAAUUCCUGGUGUAGCGGUGAAAUGCGCAGAUAUCAGGAAGAACACCCGUGGCGAAGGCGGCUCUCUGGGACGGUACUGACGCUGAGACGCGAAAGCGUGGGGAGCGAACAGG
rnacentral:rRNA from 1 species